rnacentral:rRNA from 1 species
CAAAAGCGUAUAUUAAAGUUGUUGCAGUUAAAAAGCUCGUAGUUGAACCUUGGGCUUGGCUGGCAGGUCCAUCUUUUUUGAUGCGUACUGGACCCAGCCGAGCCUUUCCUUCUGGCUAGCCUUUUGGCGAACCAGGACUUUUACUUUGAAAAAAUUAGAGUGUUCAAAGCAGGCCUUUGCUCGAAUAUAUUAGCAUGGAAUAAUAGAAUAGGACGUUAUGGUUCUAUUUUGUUGGUUUCUAGGACCAUCGUAAUGAUUAAUAGGGACGGUCGGGGGUAUCAGUAUUCAGUUGUCAGAGGUGAAAUUCUUGGAUUUACUGAAGACUAACUACUGCGAAAGCAUUUACCAAGGACGUUUUCAUUAA